rnacentral:lncRNA from 1 species
UGGACUAACGGUGCACACAUGGAACUGCUGAGUAGAUUAACAUCACUGAUGUGGCAGACCUUUUUUUUCUUUUUAUAUUUUUUUUAUAUCCAGUAUUUCCACGUAAACUUUUGUUAUUAUUGUUUUUUGUUUUGAUGUUAAAUUCUAAAAUGCAGUGUUUUAAAAAUGGUACCAAGAGGAAUCAAACUUAUCACUAAUGCAUUGACAUGGAAGCAUGUUACAUCUAGGCCAAACUACACAUUUGUUAAACUAGUUGCAAC